rnacentral:rRNA from 1 species
UGGGGAAUAUUGGACAAUGGGCGCAAGCCUGAUCCAGCCAUGCCGCGUGAGUGAUGAAGGCCCUAGGGUUGUAAAGCUCUUUCACCGGUGAAGAUAAUGACGGUAACCGGAGAAGAAGCCCCGGCUAACUUCGUGCCAGCAGCCGCGGUAAUACGAAGGGGGCUAGCGUUGUUCGGAUUUACUGGGCGUAAAGCGCACGUAGGCGGACUUUUAAGUCAGGGGUGAAAUCCCGGGGCUCAACCCCGGAACUGCCUUUGAUACUGGAAGUCUUGAGUAUGGUAGAGGUGAGUGGAAUUCAGAGUGUAGAAGUGAAAUUCGUAGAUAUUCGGAGGAACACCAGUGGCGAAGGCGGCUAACUGGACCAUUACUGACGCUGAGGUGCGAAAGCGUGGGGAGCAAACAGG